GUAACGUUACUCAUUUUAUAACCUUUAUGAUGUUAUAGUCAAUCGUGCUUAUGUAGCCACAUUCUUCUAUUAGCUCUGUAAAACAAUGCUAAAUGCGUCAGAGAAGUAUUAUCUUGUGUUGCAUUUUGAAGCUACCAUGGCCUUAUGACUCUCAAGUGGUGCAGCGGUCAAAGGCACAGCACAUCAGUACUAGAGGUGUCACUACAGACUCCCUGGUUCAAAUCCAGGCUGCGUUUCCAUCAAAAAACAUUAUUUGCCAAUAUCAUAACUGAAGCUGGACAUCUUUGGAGCAUAAGAAUGAGGACAGCUUUUGUAUGCUAACGUACACUCCUUAACAGUUGUACUGGAUGAAAACACAGCAAGAAAACGCAUGCCAAUAUGCAUAGUAUCAUGGCUGGUCACCUGUCAAGUCACAUGUCAGGUCAGUCAGUCACCUAUUGCUGCAGAUGUGCUCAAUAAUGCUUGAGUAUGUGAUACUCCUCAAAGCAUGGUGAAAUACAUAGAGGUGUAUCACAAGCUAGACACAUGUAUUUUGUCAUCUUCCUCUGCUUACUUCUCCUGGCGCCAGACAGGCAGACUUUGCAAUGCCUCCGUGUGCGACUACCUUGAGAAGCAGUUUGAGGGACUUUGCAGGGAAAAUGUCGUGCAGU